UUUCCGUUGGGGGUACCUGCGGAGGGAUCAUUACCGAGUUUACAACUCCCAAACCCCUGUGAACAUACCUAUACGUUGCCUCGGCGGAUCAGCCCGCGCCCCGUAAAACGGGACGGCCCGCCCGAGGACCCCUAAACUCUGUUUUUAGUGGAACUUCUGAGUAAAACAAACAAAUAAAUCAAAACUUUCAACAACGGAUCUCUUGGUUCUGGCAUCGAUGAAGAACGCAGCAAAAUGCGAUAAGUAAUGUGAAUUGCAGAAUUCAGUGAAUCAUCGAAUCUUUGAACGCACAUUGCGCCCGCCAGUAUUCUGGCGGGCAUGCCUGUUCGAGCGUCAUUUCAACCCUCAAGCUCAGCUUGGUGUUGGGACUCGCGGUAACCCGCGUUCCCCAAAUCGAUUGGCGGUCACGUCGAGCUUCCAUAGCGUAGUAAUCAUACACCUCGUUACUGGUAAUCGUCGCGGCCACGCCGUUAAACCCCAACUUCUGAAUGUGACCUCGGAUCAGUAGAAUCCCAGGUUUCU
rnacentral:rRNA from 1 species